rnacentral:lncRNA from 1 species
CUCUCCACCUUCUCCUAGUUUCAGUGGGGAGAUGAGAAGACAAUGAGGGGAAUAAAGAAGUCCAGGGAGGAGCGCUCGGAGGAGGAGGAGGAGGAGGAGGAACCCGAAGGAGCCAGCUGCUGGAGGAGAGGGUGUCUGUCUUGGCUCCUUGCCAAGGCGUGAGGAGAGAGGCUGUCCUGAAUGAUCAGAAGGCAGAGUGACCAGAGACAAGAGGGAGGGCUGGCAGCCUCCUGUGGGGAGACGGCGGGGCAGAUGCUGGUGAGCGGAAGCGAAGGUACAGCAACCCAGGCAGCUUCAUCUCCAGGCCUGGCUACUGAAGUGCGGCCUCCAGCAAGGCUCUCCCAAGUCCCAUGGAAGACUCCAGAACAAUGGGGAAACAAACAGCAAAACAAGCAGAACAUGCCCACCCCAGAUGGGGAGUUAUGAAGCCUGACACCCAUCCAAAGCUCCUGCAGCUAGAUAUGGCUCCUGGCUUUGAUUCUGACCCCCUUGGGGUCCUCAGUGAAUUCUGACCCAUGGAUUUGUUCCUGAGGGUAAGGUCCCUUUCUUUUCUCCACAUAACUCAACUCCUCCAGUGGCCCCCUCACCUCCAGCGGGUACCCUAUUCCUUGGAGCCCUCAUGCAGGGGGGAACCCCAUUCCUCAGAGCUUCAGAGUCAUCCAGGAAUGUCCCACAGGAGGUAUUUUCUCCUAAAAGGACGCAGGACAGAUUAAUCUCUUAUAAUAAUAUU